UACGGGGGGGGCAAGCGUUGUUCGGAAUUACUGGGCGUAAAGGGUGCGUAGGCGGCUUUCUAAGUUGGAUGUGAAAACUAUGGGCUCAACCCAGGAACUGCGUCCGAUACUGGUUGGCUUGAAUCCGGGAGAGGGACGUGGAAUUCCAGGUGUAGCGGUGAAAUGCGUAGAUAUCUGGAGGAACACCGGUGGCGAAGGCGACGUCCUGGACCGGCAUUGACGCUGAGGCGCGAAAGCCAGGGGAGCAAACGGG
rnacentral:rRNA from 1 species